UACGGGGGGAGCAAGCGUUGUUCGGAUUUACGGGGCGUAAAGGGCGCGUAGGCGGUCAGCACAAGUCAGUUGUGAAAUCUCCGGGCUUAACUCGGAAAGGUCAACUGAUACUGUGCGACUAGAGUGCAGAAGGGGCAACUGGAAUUCUCGGUGUAGCGGUGAAAUGCGUAGAUAUCGAGAGGAACACCUGCGGCGAAGGCGGGUUGCUGGGCUGACACUGACGCUGAUGCGCGAAAGCCAGGGGAGCGAACGGG
rnacentral:rRNA from 1 species